UACGUAGGCGGCAAGCGUUGUCCGGAUUUACUGGGCGUAAAGGGCGUGCAGGCGGUUUGUUAAGUCUAGGGUGAAAGCUCCCGGCUCAACUGGGAGAGGUCUUUGGAUACUGGCGAACUUGAGGGAUGCAGAGGAAAGUGGAAUUCCCGGUGUAGUGGUGAUAUGCGUAGAUAUCGGGAGGAACACCGGUGGUGUAGACGGCUUUCUGGACCGUAACUGACGCUGAGACACGAAAGCGUGGGUAGCAAACAGG
rnacentral:rRNA from 1 species